rnacentral:misc_RNA from 2 species
CACCAAUCAAGCCUGGCUUGGUAUUGGGCGUCGCGGGUUCGCCCGCGCGCCUUAAAGUCUUCCCGGCUGGGCGGCUCCGUUCUCCAUGCGUGGUGGUUUUAAUCAUUCGCGGCGGGAGCGGGCGGCGCGGCCGUUAAACUACCCCUUCAAA